rnacentral:rRNA from 1 species
CCUACGGGAGCCAGCAGUGGGGAAUUUUGGACAAUGGGCGAAAGCCUGAUCCACGCAAUCCCGCGUGUGUGAAGAAGGCCUUCGGGUUGUAAAGCACUUUUGUCCGGAAAGAAAUCCUCGGGUCUAAUCACAGUCGGGGGAUGACGGUAGCCGGAAGAAUAAGCACCGGCUAACUACGUGCCAGCAGCCGCGGUAAUACGUAGGGUGCAAGCGUUAAUCGGAAUUACUGGGCGUAAAGCGUGCGCAGGCGGUUUCCUAAGACCGAUGUGAAAUCCCCGGGCUCCACCUGGGAACUGCAUUGGUGACUGGCAGGCUAGAGUAUGGCAGAGGGGGGUAGAAUUCCCCGGGUAGCAGUUAAAUGCCUAGAGAUGUGGAGGAAUACCGAUGGCGAAGGCAGCCCCC